UACGUAGGCAGCGAGCGUUGUUCGGAGUUACUGGGCGUAAAGAGUGCGUAGGCGGUUUUCUAAGUUUGGUGUGAAAUCUCCCGGCUCAACUGGGAGGGUGCGCCGAAGACUGGAAGACUAGAGUGUGGGAGAGGUAAGCGGAAUUCCUGGUGUAGCGGUGAAAUGCGCAGAUAUCGGGAGGAACACCAACGGCGAAGGCAGCACUCUGGGCUGGAACUGACGCUGAGGAGCGAAAGCGUGGGUAGCAAACAGG
rnacentral:rRNA from 1 species